UGCAGUCGAACGGUAACAGGAAUUAGCUUGCUAAUUUGCUGACGAGUGGCGCACGGGUGCGUAACGCGUAUACAAUCUACCUUUUACAGUGGGAUAGCCUUUAGAAAUGAAGAUUAAUACCGCAUAGUAUGUUUAAAUGGCAUCAUUUAAAUAUUAAAGAUUUAUCGGUAAAAGAUGAGUAUGCGUUCUAUUAGCUAGAUGGUAAGGUAACGGCUUACCAUGGCAACGAUAGAUAGGGGCCCUGAGAGGGGGAUCCCCCACACUGGUACUGAGACACGGACCAGACUCCUACGGGAGGCAGCAGUGAGGAAUAUUGGACAAUGGGCGCAAGCCUGAUCCAGCCAUGCCGCGUGCAGGAAGACUGCCCUAUGGGUUGUAAACUGCUUUUAUACGGGAAGAAACACCGCUACGUGUAGCGGCUUGACGGUACCGUAAGAAUAAGGAUCGGCUAACUCCGUGCCAGCAGCCGCGGUAAUACGGAGGAUCCAAGCGUUAUCCGGAAUCAUUGGGUUUAAAGGGUCCGUAGGUGGAUAAUUAAGUCAGAGGUGAAAUCCUGCAGCUCAACUGUAGAAUUGCCUUUGAUACUGGUUAUCUUGAGUCAUUAUGAAGUGGUUAGAAUAUGUAGUGUAGCGGUGAAAUGCAUAGAUAUUACAUAGAAUACCAAUUGCGAAGGCAGAUCACUAAUAAUGUACUGACACUGAUGGACGAAAGCGUGGGGAGCGAACAGGAUUAGAUACCCUGGUAGUCCACGCCGUAAACGAUGGUCACUAGCUGUUCGAAUGCAGUCGAAAGUGGCU
rnacentral:rRNA from 1 species